GACGAACGCUGGCGGCGUGCUUAACACAUGCAAGUCGAACGGAAAGGCCCUGCUUUUGUGGGGUGCUCGAGUGGCGAACGGGUGAGUAACACGUGAGUAACCUGCCCUUGACUUUGGGAUAACUUCAGGAAACUGGGGCUAAUACCGGAUAGGAGCUCCUGCUGCAUGGUGGGGGUUGGAAAGUUUCGGCGGUUGGGGAUGUACUCGCGGCUUAUCAGCUUGUUGGUGGGGUAGUGGCUUACCAAGGCUUUGACGGGUAGCCGGCCUGAGAGGGUGACCGGCGACAUUGGGACUGAGAUACGGCCCAGACUCCUACGGUAGGCAGCAGUGGGGAAUAUUGCACAAUGGGCGGAAGCCUGAUGCAGCAACGCCGCGUGCGGGAUGACGGCCUUCGGGUUGUAAACCGCUUUCGCCUGUGACGAAGCGUGAGUGACGGUAAUGGGUAAAGAAGCACCGGCUAACUACGUG
rnacentral:rRNA from 1 species